rnacentral:rRNA from 1 species
UAGGGAAUCUCCCACAAUGGACGAAAGUCUGAUGGAGCAACGCCGCGUGAGUGAAGAAGGGUUUCGGCUCGUAAAACUCUGUUGUUAAAGAAGAACAUAUCUGAGAGUAACUGUUCAGGUAUUGACGGUAUUUAACCAGAAAGCCACGGCUAACUACGUGUCAG